UGGGGAAUAUUGGUCAAUGGGCGAAAGCCUGAACCAGCAAUGUCACGUGAGUGAAGAAUGCCUUCGGGUUGUAAAGCUCUGUCAGGAGGGAAGAAGAUUUAAGCUUGCUUAAAUUUGACGGUACCUUCAAAGGAAGCACCGGCUAACUCUGUGCCAGCAGCCGCGGUAAUACAGAGGGUGCGAGCGUUGUUCGGAAUUACUGGGCGUAAAGCGCGUGUAGGCGGUUUGAUAAGUCAGAUGUGAAAUCCCUGGGCUCAACCCAGGAACUGCAUUUGAAACUAUCAAUCUAGAGUAUCGGAGGGGAUGGCGGAAUUCCCGGUGUAGAGGUGAAAUUCGUAGAUAUUGGGAGGAACACCUGUGGCGAAGGCGGCCAUCUGGAAGAUAACUGACGCUGAGACGCGAAAGCGUGGGUAGCAAACAGG
rnacentral:rRNA from 1 species